rnacentral:rRNA from 1 species
GAAGAAAGAGGGAGGUGUGAUUAACACAUGCAAGUCGAACGGAAAGGCCCUGCUUUUGUGGGGUGCUCGAGUGGCGAACGGGUGAGUAACACGUGAGUAACCUGCCCUUGACUUUGGGAUAACUUCAGGAAACUGGGGCUAAUACCGGAUAGGAGCUCCUGCUGCAUGGUGGGGGUUGGAAAGUUUCGGCGGUUGGGGAUGGACUCGCGGCUUAUCAGCUUGUUGGUGGGGUAGUGGCUUACCAAGGCUUUGACGGGUAGCCGGCCUGAGAGGGUGACCGGCCACAUUGGGACUGAGAUACGGCCCAGACUCCUACGGGAGGCAGCAGUGGGGAAUAUUGCACAAUGGGCGGAAGCCUGAUGCAGCAACGCCGCGUGCGGGAUGACGGCCUUCGGGUUGUAAACCGCUUUCGCCUGUGACGAAGCGUGAGUGACGGUAAUGGGUAAAGAAGCACCGGCUAACUACGUG